CCAAUAGCGUAUAUUAAAGUUGUUGCAGUUAAAAAGCUCGUAGUUGAAUUUCGGGACUAAUAUGUCGGUCGUACUUUGUACGUACUAGCAUUAUUGGUUUCUCCCUUCUGACGAACCACGAUGUCAUUAAUUUGGUGUCGCGGGAAAUCAGGACUGUUACUUUGAAAAAAUUAGAGUGUUUAAAGCAAGCUCGCGCUUGAAUACAUUAGCAUGGAAUAAUGAAAUAGGACGUUUGAUUCUAUUUUGUUGGUUUCUAGGAUCGACGUAAUGAUUAAUAGGG
rnacentral:rRNA from 1 species